GCCCGGGUGACGGAACGGCAGACGUGGCGGACUUAAAAUCCGCUGCCCGCCAGGGCGUGAGGGUUCGAGUCCCUCCCCGGGCACCA
rnacentral:tRNA from 1 species